UUUCAGGACCCUACUAAAGCAGAUGCUAUGAUGAAAAUACAAGCAGAUUUAGAUGAGACAAAAGUCAUAAUGCAUAACACCAUUCAAGCUGUGUUAGACAGAGGGGAGAAGCUAGACGACCUAGUGGCCAAGUCUGAUGAGCUGGGCAUGCAAUCCAAGGCUUUCUAUAAGACGGCGAAAAAGACGAAUGCUUGUUGCAAGUAUGGCUAGGCUUCCACAGGUGGUUACAAAUGUCAAAGCUAUUGUACAGAAUUUCCAAUGAGGCAUACACUGGGAAUACACCUGAUUCAACUCACUGAAUUUUAGCUAGUGAGUGAAAACUAGUUGCCAAGUUAUUUUGCUAUAAAUUGACAAUUCCCAAUUUUCCUGAUAAAGCUGACGUUGACCUCACCAGACAGUCUGCAGAGUCCCAUGUACAGUCAACCCUGUGUAAAUGCUCACCUCGAUACAACAAACACUUGUCUAUAAAAGACACUUGACAUUUCCCUUGGGUGACCCAUAUUUACAGCUUUGACUGUACACGCAUAUCUUGAUGACGUCGCUUCUGCUGUCAUUCACAACCAGAUUUCGUUGAAGAUAGAUCGAUCAGCUGUAUUCCCAUCUUACUGUCUUAAUAGCAAUCGACGGUGAUAGGCACCUCAUAUUGUGUUUCUCAUGAUUUCUGUUUGCUCAUGUAAUAUCCACUGGUAAUCUAGACUGGCUGUAAUGGGAGAGGUUACAGUUUGGGUUGGGACAGUGAAUCAGAUGUAAAAGUAGUGUACGUGCAUCUCACAUCUAUAUAUAGCAAGCAGGAGUCGAAAUUAACAUGUUUCCAUUUUUCCGGGACAAGGUCUGCCCGAAAAAUCGAGUUAACUAGGCAAUUUUACGGUGGGAAACAGUUUGUUUAUUAUCUAUUCAGUCAGUAUUUCACCGUUACGCUCUCUAACCUUGCUGAAAGAACCCCUAGUGUAGAACCUGUGGCUAGAAAUAAGUGGUAUACGCCAUGCUCAUUGUUUAUCUGGAAAAUCGCAAACUUGUACAGAAAAGGAGAUUUUGACUAACUUUUCCAGGGCAAAAGUCGCAAAUUUCUUUUAGUUUCAAUCCAUGACUACACGUGUGAAGCGUUAUAGUGAAUGAGUUGAUUCUCAGUGAUGCCAUAGAAUUAUUAAAUUUACUGACAGGAGAGAGGCCCCUAUAUAAAGAAAUAAUGUACGCUUUAAUUGUGGAGCUUGUGUUAUUUUUUGCCCUCAACAUAUAGUGUCUUGUCUGAUUUAAUCAGUGGGUGCUUGAUGUAUUUGUCUAAUCUAAUGCCAGAACUAAUGUACUAGAAUAUUGAAUGCAGACUGCAUCUCUUUUUGAAGUAAAAAUUAGUAAUCGUUAAAAAUUGUGCCUUAUUUUUCCUAACUUGUAUCAGGCCAUUAUCUAGAAGCAGCUUAGCUGUAAUUCACAUUUUUGUGUUCACAACAUGGUGACAAUUUCUGGUCUCUAUAUACAGAGGAAGAGCUCCAAUUUUUUUCUUUGUCUGUAUAUGAAGGGAAAUCUCCAAAUUUACUCUGUAAAUAUAGGUAGAUUUCCCAUCCCGACGUCCAUCUAUCUGGAAGCAUUUGCAUUCAAGUGUGAAAGGAAGUAGUGCGUCAAACUAACUGGCAAGCUAAAGCAAUGUGAAAUAUAGUGCUUAAUGUGCUCACGUUGUCGUAAAUAGUAAUAGCUUAUAUUUUAACAAUUCAGUGAUGCAUAGACAGAUACUCACAUAUAA